rnacentral:tRNA from 1 species
GCCUGGGUGGCUCAGUUGGUUAAGCGUCCGACUUUGGCUCAGGUCAUGAUCUCACGGUUUGUGGGUUCAAGUCCCACACUGGGCU